rnacentral:rRNA from 1 species
AUUGAACGCUGGCGGAAUGCUUUACACAUGCAAGUCGAGCGGCAGCGCGGGGGGCAACCCUGGCGGCGAGCGGCGAACGGGUGAGUAAUACAUCGGAACGUGUCCUUUCGUGGGGGAUAACCAGUCGAAAGACUGGCUAAUACCGCAUGAGAUCUCACGAUGAAAGCGGGGGACCGCAAGGCCUCGCGCGAUUGGAGCGGCCGAUGUCGGAUUAGCUAGUUGGCGGGGAAAAGCCCACCAAGGCUACGAUCCGUAGCUGGUUUGAGAGAACGACCAGCCACACUGGGACUGAGACACGGCCCAGACUCCUACGGGGGGCAGCAGUGGGGAAUUUUGGACAAGUGGGGGCAACCCUGAUCCAGCCAUGCCGCGUGUGUGAAGAAGGCCUGGUGUAA